rnacentral:lncRNA from 1 species
AUUACAGUUUCCCCUCUAAUAUAUUGCUGAGGGUGAGAACAAUACCAAAAUAACAGGACUGCCUUUUACUUAUUUCUUUGCCCAGUAAAAUGGAUUAAAGUGAGUCAGCAAAAGGGAGAAAGAAGGAGGGGAAGUUAAGGACUUCUUCAAAAUCUACCUCAUCAUUUUGGAGCUCUUAGUCCUCAAUUCCAUCAAACACAGUGGUGGGAAGGACAUCUUCCAAAUGGCAGCUCAUUUUACCUUAAUAGUUGGUGUUUCCAGGUGAAGAGGCCAAAUAAAUGGAAGUCUGGGCACCUUCUACUGGAGUUUUGAAAAAAGCCCAUGACACCAAAUUGAAGAGUGGUUUGACCAACAGUGGAAUGUGUAUGUGCCUCCCCAGAUUUGUCCGUACAAUACCAGGAUGCAACACAUUGACGGUGACAUUUGUGCCUUCUAAGCGGCGGGCUAGUUCCCUGGUAAAAAGAAUGUUAGCCAGUUUGCUCCGGCUAUAACAAAAGCUUUUAUUAUAGCUUUGUUCACUGUUCAAGUCAUCAAAGUUGAUGUCUCCGUAUUUAUAAAGUUUGGAAGAAACUACCACAAUCCUGCUGGGAGCUGAACUUUUGAGGAGUCCAAGGAGAAGAUUGGUGAGUAGAAAGUGCCCCAGAUGGUUCACUCCGAACUGCAUCUCAAACCCAUCUUCAGUCUUCAUGUAAGGGCACUGGAAGAUCCCUGCGUUAUUGAUCAAGACAUCCAGCCUAGGCUCUUCCUUUAAAUGUCAAAAAGAGAAUGGCAGAAUUAUUAAGAACACAUGCCUUGUAUUGCUUUUUCUGUUCAUGAUAAUUACAUUUUAAUAAAAAUGGGCACUUGAGACUAAA